UUUUUCUCCCUCUUCUCCCUGAGGUUGGGGGGGGGGGACUUCUGGUGGUAAGGUUUGGAGACUUGGCAGGGAGCCAGCUUCAAACCAUAUCAAAGAGGAAGUAUGUUAAUCAUGAAAUUGGAAUUAUCGAGGUCUCUGAUGGUCCUCUCCUCAGAAUGAAUUUCAUUCAGAAAUUUGAUUUUGGUCUCGAACAGGGUUACAGAACUCACAGCUGUAUGCAGUGUGGGGAGGACAGCCAUGAGGCCCUUGGGGGCUGGGGUGUCUGCAGACUCUCGCUCCAAGAAGGGCUUUUGCAGCAGGAGGAGUGCAUGCAGCAGCCUUUACCAAGGCUGGAAUUCCUGGGUGAAUCUGUGUAUCUAUGAUCACAUUCCCGUAAAGAUAGACAAUGAGAGAAAGCAACAUCAAUGAAAAUCCAGCAGUGGGGUGAAAGGACUUAAAAGAAGCCUACAAGAAGAAUGCAGGAGUUGCAGUGCUACAGGAAUUUUCCUCAAUCAAGGUGACACAGGAAAGUACAGUGCUAUCUGAGAAGAUAUUCUGGAUGUCAUUUCCAAAAAUCUGUGGGGCAACUGAUACCGUUUCUGUACAACUGCAGUGUGGGAUUCAGAUGAUGCUGGUUCAAUGGCUGCUGAUGCCAACGAUGUACAUGAGUUUG